UACGGAGGGUGCAAGCGUUAUCCGGAUUCACUGGGUUUAAAGGGUGCGUAGGCGGGUAGGUAAGUCCGUGGUGAAAUCUCUGAGCUUAACUCAGAAACUGCCGUGGAUACUAUUUGCCUUGAAUAUUGUGGAGGUGAGCGGAAUAUGUCAUGUAGCGGUGAAAUGCUUAGAUAUGACAUAGAACACCAAUUGCGAAGGCAGCUCACUACACAAUGAUUGACGCUGAGGCACGAAAGCUAGGGGAGCAAACAGG
rnacentral:rRNA from 1 species